CUUGAUAGUAUGCACUUAGUCGACUUAGGAGUAACAAAGAAAUUACUUAAACUUGCAACAAAAAAACGAAAAGCUUGACUAUGUCUCUAAAUUUAUCCCAUCAGAGUUUGGAAAUCGUCUGAGUUUAGGCAGUUUUUGCUUUAUUCUGGUAUAUUCGUUCUUAAAGAUUGUAUCAGUACCGAUCAAUACUAUCACUUCCUGCUGCUACAUAGUAGUAUUCGACUUUUGUCACAUGAAAAUAUUCAUGGACUACUUCACUUGGCAGAUUGCGUAAAACAGUUCGGAUCAUUAGAUUCUUUUUCAGCGUAUCGUUUCGAAAACUAUAUCCAGAAUAUAAAAAAAAAUUGUAAAUAAACCCAAUAAAAUUCUACAGCAAAUAUAUCUUAGACUUGAUGAAAAACAGGGUAUUGAAUCAAAUUCAGAGAAUGUGACAAAAUUUGCUUCAUUUGAAAAAAAAAUCCCAACAAGCAGAAAGAUAGUUUUUGUUUUAGUGAGUUGACAGGAGAAAUGAAGGUAUUUAAUGUCAUAAAGUCUCAACAGUCGUAUGAAAUUGUCUGCAAAGUUUUCAGAAAGACUGAAAACUACUUUAAUGAACCUGUAGGAUCGUCAAGUGGCCUAGGGAUUGUAGUCGCAAGUGAGUUAGAUGAAGAAAUGGUAACAGUUUCUAUCGAAGACAUUGAUUUCAAAUACUUUUGUAUUCCUAACGAAGAGAAAUAUUUGCCAAUACCACUUUUACACCAUCUUUUUAACACAUUUUCCCAUUAACCACUGAUUUGCGCAUUCCACUUUCAAAUUUAAUAUACAAUUUUAGUUUCACUAAUAUAACCAAAACUGUAUAUAAAUGCAAUAUAAUAAAAAACAUAAUAACAAGUAUAAAACAUCAUAAAAAAUAUACAGUAUUGUUCAAGCAACAAACUCCAAAUGCAAUAUGUUGAACGACAUUUUAACAAUACUGUAUAUUUUUAUGAUGUUAACCUAAUAUAAUUAAUAUACUCGUAAUAUAAUAUAAUAAUAAUAUAAUUAUUAUAUAUACAAAUGAGUAACAUAUUCGAGACGCAAGAUGAAGGUGAUAAGUUAAAAGGAAAAUACUCAUCGGAAUAAGUAUAAAUAUAUUAAAAAUUAUUAAUUUUUUAGUAGAGAUUCCAAUCGUUGAGAGGAAUAUCAAGAACACGACAAAACUCAGGUCAUUUUUACUUAAAGCUUCUAAUAAAAUAUACUAUAUAUUAACUUUUUAAAAUUAAGAUAUUCUUUAAAUUAUAUUAUAUUAAAAUAUUCGUUAAAAAUGAUCAUUGCGGGCCAAAAGAAUAUACAAGAAAGACUAGACAAAUUGGAGGAAAACGUAUUUAUAACUUUACAGAACCAAAAAACUCUUAGUGAAGGCCAAUCGUCACUGGUUCACAACCAAACCGCUAUAUUUGAAAAACUUAAUGAGAUGGAGUCGAAAAUUGUCGAAAAGGCUGGGGUUUUGGCGCAAAAUAAGUCGAUCAGAGAAUGCAAAGUUCUCUUAAAACGAGUGGAGCAGUCAGUGUGCCGCAUGACCGGCGAAGUGAUUGACAAAGAGCUGGACGACGUCGCUAGCACUUUUCCGAUGGAUUCGCAAGCAACAGUUGCGGAAGUGGAAGAUAGACUGCAAAGCCAAGACUAUGCUCAAACAACGACUACAUUUCUCCAUAAACUUAAGGCGCCAGUGAUAAUGUGGCAGACGUAAUACCGAAGGUUUUCUCAGAUGAGCUCUUGGAAGGAUAUAAUUGGGAUGGCAGGUGGAGCAAGAAAUCCCUAUGCAAAUUGGCGCUGGUUGAUACCAUUUUAAGAAAUGUGUUUCAACAACAAGUCUGUAGGAGUUUCGAACAAAGUAUAAAGCGGUCAAACCUGCACAGCCAUCACAGAUUAAAGCAGCGUACUUAUUUAAAAACAAACGGAAACAAUAAUUAAAUUUAAAAACUAAACAAAUUAAAACCAAAUAAUGAAGCUUUAAUCUUACAUAAUUUUUUUUUUAUUUUUGUACAAUUUUUUUAUAAUAUGAAUUAAUGAAUAUUACAUGAAUUAAAAUGAAUUUAAUUUUUUCUAAAUAAACUAAAUUACAAUAAAUUAAUAAAUGCGUAAUUUUUA